rnacentral:lncRNA from 1 species
UGUUGGGUUGGUUGCCAUUAAUGUGCAGCAACCAUUAAUGGACGGCACCGUCCAUUGACAAAUGCAGCAGCCCUUCCGGAAUGUCAAAGGUUGGCAGCCACCAUUGUUGAAGAUGGGCUGGAGUUGGUGGCCACCAUUGUUGACAAAAGAGCUGGAGGAGCUGCCAUGGAUGCCUAUAAAUAGAGGCAUACAUUAGAGAGCAAAAUGAGAGAGUUAAGAGAAGGAAAGUAGAGCCAAAGAUGUGAGAAAUGUAGGAGAGAGUGGGCUGCCAAGGCAGCCAGCAGUAGCUGCCAUUGCAGCACUGAAAAGAGAGAAAUAGAGUGAGGUUGAGAGUUGCCAAAGAGGGGAUGAUUCCUCCUCCUCUAUUGUUGUAAAUCUUGUUCUCUCCCUAUAUAAUGCAAUGGCUCCUCCCGUGGAUGUAGGCGGUUUGCCGAACCACGUUAAAUAUUGUGUCAGUGUGCUUAGCCUCCAAUGGGCAAAUAUCAGAACAUCACCGGUCGGAAUUCCCUACAAUUGGUAUCAGAGCUGAUGGUUUAAAGGGGUGUUUGAUUUUUUGCUCAAAAAUGAAAGUUGUCAAAAUUGUGUUUUGACCAUACCACUGUGUAGAGGAGGCCGAGACGAAGCCACUGGUGAAAACGGCGUCAAAAUCGGACGUCGAACAUGGCCGCACUCUCCAUCACUCUCCGGCAAGGCGUCUGCCCACGCGCGCAGACGCGCCCCACGCGUCUUCUUCACCCGGAUGGGCUGACCCGACCCGAAUACCAGUUGACCCGACCCACAUGGCUGACCCGGAUAUGAAUGACGUCAGCAUGACAUAAUUGUGAUGUCAGCAUGCACAGUAGGCAUGCCAGGGACGACAUUAGCCUGAUGUAAGUGUGAUGUCAUCAUGCACAGUAGGCAUGCCAUGUCAGCAGCCACAUCAUCGACCAGUCAGCAGACACGUCAGCAAAGUGGGACCCACCUGCCACAUCAUCAGCCGCGAGCCGAGCCAAGUCGAGCUGAGUUGAGCCGAGCCGUUGUGAAGCCGAGCCGAGCCGAGCCGCGAGCCGAGGGAUAAGAUUCUGUGCAGCAGAGUCUAUGUGCAACCGGAUCUGAGAUUGAAUCUGGGCCGUUCAUCAGGCCAGAAUUGUUUUGAUCAAAUCUUAGCCGUCUGAAAUGCGAUUUGGACGAUUUCAGACUUGUUUCCAGGUAAUUUGAUCGUUCCGGAUGCAAUGGUACGGUCCGAUCGUUGAGAUUUGAGACCGAAAGUGGUGGUGGUGAAUUAACAAAAGAGAUUGCCCGAUCAGGAGGCAUCUGAAGGUCAUCAUGGUGGUCGAUGGAGAUGAAGAAGAAGAAGGUGCACAUGUUUACCCAAUUACAUGUGUUGAAUUGCUAAGUGGGGAGAUUUGAAUUGCCUUGAGGGAAGGUAAAAUUGGGACACUCUAGACACCCAAUCAAGUGGACAAUUUGAGGUGGAGAGUGGAAAUUGAUGAAGACCAAUCUUGACGAAUCUAAGAACUGGUAGUCUCGCCAGAUGUUGAGAAAUCAGGUAUAAAACCGGGAUACCCCAGAUCACUUGUAAAGGAAAGCCGCAACAAAGCUAGCAAAUGGUUGUAUAUACGAAAAGGCAGUACGGUGGAUAGAUACGUUCUAAGAAGUUCUGUCUAGGAGAUUGGGUUUUAAGCAGGACUAGUGUGACCCCUCCAAAUCUUUCCUGGGAACUUGCUUAGUUGAAGGAUCAUCCACACAGUACUAUUUUUGUAUAUGUAAUAGUUUGUAAUGAAACUGUUGAAGACUAGCAAGAUGACGGCACAAAGGAACAGUUGGGUUCUGUAUGUUUAAGGAUCUGAUGGAGUGGUGAUUUCUCCAAAGAAGUUAGAUUCGGUGACUGUAAUUUCUCGAAGGGAUAAUUAAUGAAGACCCUGAUAAUGGAAGAGAAAUACAACAAGGGAUAAAGAUUGGCACCCUAUUUUGACUUGGAUAAAUGUUAUGACAGGAUGAGCUGCUGUCAAACAUAAGCAAGGAAUAGGGAGAAAUCUGGAGAGCAUAAAUUGCACGAGGGCACACGGAGAUUGUGCAAGAGUACCCGUAGGAUCCAAUGUGGUACUGUAAUGAGACAACAGGUGCAAGGAGAAGAAAUGUUCCCAGAUCAAGCUCAGAGCAGAGACUGUUAAAGUUUGUACAACAAGAAGUCUCUUAUGCUCUUGAUGAAGACAACAAGCGAAGACCUUUCCAAUGCAUGCAAGGAUGGAAAGAGAGCUGUUGCAGAGGCACCUAAUUGAGGGGGUGCAAAUGCCUGUGAUACAAGGCAACCGCCUAUGAUGAAAGGCGAAAACACCAAAGAGAGUUGGUGUAGGUGGAGCUGUCAAGCAGAAAGGCAUAGAAGCUCCAAACAUAGAAAUCGAGGUGGAGGAUUGCGAGGAGUAUACCGCAACUUUCUCUUUCUAUGUAGUCAGUGGCAGUAAUCUCUCCCAAGUCCACAUGGUGGUAGAGAAUCUUGGAGCCACUGGAGACAUCCCCGAUGAAGGAGGAUGUGACCGCCUCAUGAUGACAGACGGAGACACCUCGGAUGAAAGGUGUGAGGACCAUGAUAGGAGUCCAAAUUCAGAUCGUCUCAUGACGACAGACAGAGACACCUCGGAUGGAAGGUGUGAGGACCAUGAUAUGAGUCCAAGAUCAGACCGUCUCAUGACGACAGGCGGAGACACCUCGGAUGGAAGGUGUGAGGACCAUGAUAUGAGUCCAAGUUCAGACCGUCUCAUGACGACAGGCAGAGACACCUUAGGAGAAGGUGUGAGGGCCAUGAUAGGAGCCCAAUUUCAGAACGCCCUAAAGCCAAUGUGAUGGCUGGAUAUAAGUGGACAAGUGUAUAGCCAAUGAAGUGGCUAUGAUGAGUAUGAAGACAAAUGCAGGAUUGACUUUCAUGGAUAUUGCCCUCAUGCUAAAGAUCAAUGAGCUAGAAGACAUUUGCCUUGGACAAUAAGUGGAUGGCUUGUGGAGUAUUAAGACGCGACUGCUAUGAAGGAGCAGAGGGCAUGCGCAGGUUCCGGGAACAAGUUGACUCUUGUCAAGGUGGUGAGCUCAGUAAUGACAUUGUAAUACUCAGAGUAUGAAGAUAGAGAUGGAUCAACCUUUAAUGGGCUGUCCCCAUGGUUAAAAGGGAGAGCCACCUGGACUCUUGAGACUAAGAGCGGGAGACUCACGGAGAAGUAAGGCGUGGUUCCUAGGGAGGAACAAAGGGCAGACGCAACUCCGGGAUGAGUAGACUCUUGGAAGAGUGGUGAGCUUGUGAUCACAUUAAAAUACUCAAUGACUGUCACACUUGGAAAUAUCCGUUUGAGGGGGUGUUGUAAGCCUUGGUGUAAGGCUUGAUAAAUCAUUCCGGGCCAAGCAUGGUUGAUAUGCUUGAAGGGGGAUGUUGUUCCAGAGACAAGCGUUAAACACUCUUCAGAUGAGAUAUGACAAACCAUCUGGUUGAAGUGAUCCUUUGGAGUGAGCAAAGGGGUGCUUGGAUGACUCUGGUGAUUGUAAGGUUUGGCAAGUACCUGGAAACUUGGUCAAAGACGCUAUCAAAAUGGUAAGCUUGGAAGAGCUGCAGAAUGCAAGCAUGUGCUGAAAAAGCAAGAGGACAAUUGCCCACAUAAAUGGCAAAGGGGGUGAUUGUUGGAUUGGUUGCCAUUAAUGUGCAGCAACCAUUAAUGGACGGCACCGUCCAUUGACAAAUGCAGCAGCCCUUCCGGAAUGUCAAAGGUUGGCAGCCACCAUUGUUGAAGAUGGGCUGGAGUUGGUGGCCACCAUUGUUGACAAAAGAGCUGGAGGAGCUGCCAUGGAUGCCUAUAAAUAGAGGCAUACAUUAGAGAGCAAAAUGAGAGAGUUAAGAGAAGGAAAGUAGAGCCAAAGAUGUGAGAAAUGUAGGAGAGAGUGGGCUGCCAAGGCAGCCAGCAGUAACUGCCAUUGCAGCACUGAAAAG